ensembl:snRNA U2 U2 spliceosomal RNA
AUCGUUUUUCGGCGUUUUAGUUAAGAUCAAGUGUAGUAUUUGUUCUUAUCAUUAUCAGUUUGUGAUACAUUCUGUAUCUGAGGAAAAUAAGUUAGAUGGGUUUUUGGAGCAGGGAGAUGGCAUAGGAGCUUUUCCUGUCCACUGCACGUAUGGACAAGAAUGGUGCACUUCCUUGAGGGAUACAAUGUCU